rnacentral:rRNA from 1 species
UACGUAGGCAGCGAGCGUUGUUCGGAGUUACUGGGCGUAAAGGGCGCGUAGGCGGUCUUCUAAGUCCUGUGUGAAAUCCCUCGGCUCAACUGAGGAACUGCACGGGAUACUGGAAGACUUGAGUUCGGGAGAGGGAAGCGGAAUUCCGGGUGUAGCGGUGAAAUGCGUAGAUAUCCGGAGGAACACCGGUGGCGAAGGCGGCUUCCUGGACCGAUUACUGACGCUGAGGCGCGAAAGCUAGGGGAGCAAACGGG